UACGGAGGGGGCUAGCGUUGUUCGGAAUUACUGGGCGUAAAGCGCACGUAGGCGGCUUUGCAAGUCAGGGGUGAAAGCCCGGGGCUCAACCCCGGAAUUGCCUUUGAGACUGCAUCGCUAGAAUUGUGGAGAGGUAAGUGGAAUUCCGAGUGUAGAGGUGAAAUUCGUAGAUAUUCGGAAGAACACCAGUGGCGAAGGCGACUUACUGGACACAUAUUGACGCUGAGGUGCGAAAGCGUGGGGAGCAAACAGG
rnacentral:rRNA from 1 species